rnacentral:tRNA from 1 species
GCCUGGCUGGCUCAGUUGGUUGAGCUUCUGACUUCAGCUCAGGUCAUGAUCUCAGGGUUCAUGGGUUCGAGCCCCGUGUCGGGCU